CAGUUGUCUCGUUGGGAAUGCAAUUACAUUGUCAGUGACAGAUGACAGUAUCUCUCAUUGGAUAGUGAUGUUCCUUUGUGUUGAGUGAAAAAGCAAAGACUGAUGAAAUGGCAUAGAGAUUAAUUCACAGUAUUUGCUGAACAACAAGGCAUAAUGGACUAUUAUUGGAGUACAUUGGCUUUUAAAAUGGACAAAACAUUGAUGUUGACAUGGCUGUUAUCAUUCAUUUUAUUGGUUGCUAGCCAGUCAUCAACGACCAAUGAAAUAAUGCCCUCAACCACAGUCAGCCAAUCAGCUACCAGUAUUUCUGUAACUCCGACUUUAGCGUCUGCAUCUACUGCCAAUCAAAGUAUAUCACAGACACAAAGUGUUUCCGCAUCUCCCACAAAUAACGCAAGCAUAAAUCCUGCCACUGUUAAUCCUGUCAAUUCUACCUCAUAUCUGCCUAGUUCAGCCAUUUUGUCAACGGUAACCAUUUCAACGUCUGCAUCUAGCAUGUACGCUAAUAAUAGUGCAACAGCAACUUUAAAUACGUCAUCCAUUCCAAAAACCACCGCCCCGCCACAAAUUACGCCAACACCCGCGACUGUGAAAGAAACAAAUGUGACGUGUACUGGAUCGAA